AGGUGAGGAAACUGAGGCACAGAGAAGUUGAGUAACUUACCCAACCUCAUAGAGCUGGUUCACCCACCCACCUAGGAGAACCCACCAGGUCCCCACGGCAGCCAGAAUGGCCAUUUAAAAAUACCAAUAGGAAAUCAAAGAGGAUGGAACACUUCCAAACUCGUUUUACCGGGCCAGCAUUACCCCGAUACCAAAGCCGGACAAGGACAACACAAGAAAAGAAAAUUACAGGUCUCUUUGCCCAGGCAAAACUGGAUUAAAACUGGGGU